GAACACAAAAUGGCGACACGUGGUUAGCAUUCGUCGCCAACGAGAAAUUGGGGUCGGCCCGAAAGCUCUAGAAUGCACCCCUCUUCCUCCCCGGGGCCUUCCACCUCCGCGAGUUUUAUGACUUAAAAAAGCCCACAGGCUGGUCUGAAGGUCGGAGGCCUAAUUUUAACGCGUUUUCCUCCCUUUAAUUUGAAACGGGAACGCGAAUGACUGUAAAAUGUGGGCACAAUAUUUAAUCUCUCGCCUUUUUAAAGCUUAAUAGUGGAUAAUAGGGGGGCAGUAUCAAGGGAUAAUUUGGGUCCCCACAGUACCAAAGCAUUUAGAAACCUCUGUUUAAUUUAAGGAAUGAGAUAAGUUACUGCUUUUCUAGACUUCCUAGCAUGGGCUGUUGUGCUGGAGAGAACGAGAGCUACGAAGAGACUACAGUGCCUCUGACUUUUUCAUAGGACAGUUGGCCGAGGAAGACAAACAUAAAGAUGAAGUGCUUAAUUCAAGGUCACACAAUGUCGGGGAUGGACCUCCAGAUUUCCUUACUGGUGAGACGUGGUCUUGUAACACAGUGGUUAAGAAUGUGACUUUGGAGCCAGCCUGCUAGGGGCUGAAUUCUGACUCAGCCAUUUACUAACUGUGUGACCUUAGGUGGAGUCUCACUCUGUAGCCCAAGCUGGAGUGGCGUGAUCUCGACUCACUGCAACCUCCGCCUCCUGGGAUCAAGUGAUUCUCGUGCCUCAGCCUCCUGAGUAGCCGGGACUACA
rnacentral:lncRNA from 10 species